ensembl:lncRNA
UGGUAACUACAGUCCCAGAGCCCCACAGCUUCUUCUGCCCAGCAGGGAGCAGGGGAGGCCACAUGUUCUACAACUGCUUUUUCAUAAGAGACAGAGUAGCAUACAUGAACGCCUUUGCAGCUGAAGAGCAUGAUUAUCCUACAGCAUCAGUAGGGAAAAUGCCUAACUUAAGAGCAAGCCACUCAGAGAACUGAGCACUCACUGCAGAGAGACAAGGAAGAGCCACAGAGGGGGUUGUGGUGUGUAGGAUACUGUUGGAAACAAGAUACCAAAUAACAGACAAGUAUAGGAGACAAGUCAUGUUGUGGCUGUUGAAUGGCUCUUAUGCACAACUGAUGAAAGUAUCUGUAGGUGACGGUUUUGUGUCUCUCUAUAUAGAUACAUACUGAAUGAUAUUUUAGUUAUAGUAAACAUGUUCUGCUCCCCACCAUAUUAACUGCUUACAGAGGAAAAAUAUGGGAAAGCAAUUUAAUACACAUUACCUGGUAAUAUAGGAAAGACUGAACACUGAUUUUGAGAGAGGGCUUUUCAGAUAUCUUGGAAUCACCGUUAAAUUUCUUCAUUUUUUUAAUGCCAGUGACCAAGUGGCCAAAGAAAUGCUUCCACAACUGCUGUGUGCUGCUGGCUUUUUCUCCACUGAAAAUAGAAGGAACAGAAAGAUAAGAGUAAAACAAAAUGGACAAACAAAACAGACAAUCAACUGUUGGCAUCAGAGAUAGAUCUGAUGAACCUGGUGUGUUUUCUGACAAAAGAUUGGUUGACGAGCUGAAGAAUAACAAAACCUAUACACCUGAGUGGCAUUUUUCAGCUCUGCAAUUUGUUUGUUCUUUUAUUUGCAGUUUUACAAUGUCUGUGAAAAUUAUGGUAACUAGUUCUGAAGACCUGAAUUUCAUGCUUUAUGCUUUCAUGCAUGGAAUUAUCUAUGUUAACAUUGGGUAAAAGGGAAAAUAGAGAAAAAAACAUCACGUGAUUGAUCUGACCAUAAUAUUCUGUUCUGAUUAUCGUAACACAUAUAAGGUAUUUACAGAAGCUCCUUUUAUUAAUUUAGCAGAAAGUAUGAUAUACCUGCUGCUUCUUGUAUUUCAUGUGCAGUGACUGCCAUUCCUUACAAAAGUUGAAGAUCAAAUGGAAAUCUUAACAAAAGUUUGUUCUCAAAAGCCAAAAAUCAGACCUCUGUUAGAAAUUUUCUGAACUACUUGGAAGAAUAAAUAAGUUGGCAUAGAAAACAAAACAUAAUCAAAUAGGAACAAAAGUUUACUUUGAAAAACCUUAAUAAAUUCUUGUAAAUAUUUUGCAGAACUCAGAAAACUGCAAGUGUGGAAGGUGUAUUUCUCUCUCUCUUUUUAUUUAAGGAAUAAAAGUUAGAUUGGCACUUUAAAAAAAUCCAUUAAUUACCACUAUUUAUAUUUUAUAAAUGGAAAAAUAAACACAUAAUGAGAAGAUGAUCAAAUAGCAGAAGUGGAAGCAGCAUCCUUCAUGGGGGAAGACAGUGGCCAUGGAGGAGCAGCAGAGACAAAACAUUAAGGACUGACCACAGCCCCAUCCCCUGUCCCUCCUGCUCAUCUUGGGGGGAGGAGGUUGACGUUUCAGGCAUAAAG